rnacentral:tRNA from 13 species
GGGGAGACUUCGAACACGGGCGGGGGAUGCACGGGCGGGUUCGACUCCCCCGCG